AGUCUGUCCACUGCUGGAGAAAAGCUGCUUUCCCAAAAUAGCCACCCAGGGGGAAAGAGCAGCCCUGGAAUUUGACCCUGACGAUCACCGUGACGGGGCUGCUGGCCCCACCUGGCCUGACCUCCACGACAUCACGGAAGGACUGUUGGUGCUGGGGAGAGGCAGGACAGGCCUGUCCCCCGAGUCCCCUCCGGAUGCCGUGGACCGGCCAGCUGUGAGUGUUUCUUUGGCAGUGUCUUAGCUGGUUGUUGUGAGCAAUAGUAAGGAAGCAAUCAGCAAGUAUACUGCCCUAGAAGUGCUGCACGUUGUGGGGCCCAAGAGGGAAGAUGAAGCGAGAGAUGCCCAGACCAGUGGGAGACGCCAGGACUUCGGAAGCUCUUCUGCGCCACGGUGGGUGGUGAGGGCGGCUGGGAAAGUGAGCUCCAGGGCCCCAGGAGCAGCCUGCUCGUGGGUGCGGAAGGAAAAAGGCACAGGGGCUUGGUGUGGGCGGCUUUUGGCUGGGAGAAGUUUGCACGUAGGGAGAAUAGUAGCCAGUGUUUGCAGAGCACUUACUAUGCAGGAAGGCCUGUCCUAAGUAUUGUAAGUGUAUUACAUCAUGUACAAGUGUCUGUGAUUAACCCCGUCUUGCAGAGAAGGAAACAAAAGUACAAACAGAAAAUGUAACUAAGCAUGCAAUUAAUAAAAAGGGACCAGGUUUUGAACGCGAGCAAUCUGGCUCAAGAAUCUGCGCCCAACCACCGGCUCCUGUUCUUAGAGAUGAACGUGGAGUCCUGGAGACUGCUCAACAUUGUGACUUGACUGUGAGCGUACGCGCUCCCUGUCCCCAGGAGACAGAUUUCCAGUGCAAUCAUAGAAAGUGCCUGUGUGGGCUUCGGGAGAUGUGUCUGCCUUGGGGAGAAUUUUCCUUUUCAGCUAGAGCCAGGCCCAGGAUGUUGACGUCAGUGAGACGCUGGUGACGUUCUCUGCUCCAGUGGCUGAUGAGAAAAGUUCCUCCAAGCCAGCUCAGUUGAGAAGAAUUAAGUUCUCUGGGUCCCACUGGCUUCACCUACAGAUGCCAACUUUGAGGCCAGUGAACUGUGAGGCCAGCUGGGCUGAUUGCCAUGGCAACAGGAAUUGGACCAAAGUCACCGGAGGAUGGAGAGGGAAGACACAGUGGUGGCUUCCCCAGGUCUUGGACCACAAGGCACAGCCGUGGCCUCCAGGAACCCUGAGAUAACCCGUUAGUGGGUCCUGCACUCCAACAGAGCUCAUGCAAUCAGCCUCUGGUCCUCACCCUCCUCCCAUUGGUGUCGUUGUGCUCUCUAACAUUGACAUUGAGCAGUGAGUGCUCCAGAUCUUGUUCCACUGAUUUUUUCCACUGUUCUCCAGUCUAGCACUUUCUGAAAUUCAUCCAAGCCUAAGAGGUGACGCCAAACGUAAGUGUCUUACACCUCGGACCCCAUGGACUAAGACAAGCCUCUGGGGUCCAUGUGGCACCAAGGAUGGGGCCUUCUAGUACCUUUCACACAGGCCAGGGACAGCACCUGCUGCGACCCCCACCCCCAGCCUCUGCUGCUUCUCCCGUUGCCCUUCCAGCCACUGCCCUGGGCACCUCCCCUGCUCCCGCCUCCCUGCCUGGGCCCAUCUUUCUUUGCACCUCACCAAUUGCGGGGCUUCCUAGUGCUGGAGGGGAAGGGAGCCUGCUUCCAUUCUCACCACUCUGAAAGAAGACCCUGCAGAGAGGUUUUCUGGAAUUUGGAGCCUAACCUUGGCCUUGACACAGUCCAGAUGAGAAGGCCGUCCCCCAGUUAAGCCAGCCCUCCCUCCCUCUCAAUGCUGGAGAGGAAACCAGGCAGCUGGUUGCUUCAGCAAACCCCCUCCCUAUGGGAAUUGUCCUUUUCUUCCUCAAAUAGACUGGAGUGCAGAGGACUUGCUUCAGAGAGAGCCCCUUUGUAACGCACAUUGCACGGGCCGUGCCCCAUGCCCACUCUGCCACAAACUCCCCUCAGCUGCCCAGCCCCGUGGAGCCAGGCGUGGGCUGAAGUGGGGCCAAUGAAAUGCCUGGAAUGCCAGCCGCAGUGACAGGCCAGCACUCAGAUGCCUCUCGGGAGUUCUGACCGAAGCAGCACUGAGGACUGCUUCAGAGCAGAAGUCUACGCCAUUUUCCCCAGUUCUAGGCAGAAGUAAAGAAUGUCUCUACCUUCUCCCAACCAGCAAUUGAUUCAGAGUCCUGAGCUUUUAAAUUAAAGGGACCCCUCUGUUGCUUUAUGCAGUAGCCAGCUUAUUCAUUUGAGUUCAGGUGAAAUCAUUUUCAAGUAACCUCUUCCUAUCCAGCUUUACUUUUAGUUAUGCUGACAUAAAAACAAUAAAAAUUGUCCUCCUCAGAGUUCACCUGUAAAAGUUCCUGGAUAAUUAGUAAGGAAACAGAAAGAGCAGAUAGUUGUUGCUUCAGAUAAAAGUGAUGUCUGGGUUGGGCACGGUGGCGCAUGCCUGUAAUCCCAGCACUUGGGGAGGCCCAGGUGGAUGGAUCCCUUGAGCUCAGGAGUUUCAGACCAGCCUGGGCAACAUCUCUACAAAAAAUACAAAAAUUAGCCAGGCAUAGUGGCAGGACUGUAGUCCCAGCUACUCAGGAGGCUGAGGUCAGGGGAUGGCUUGAGCCCAGGAGGCACAGAUUGAAGUGAGCUGAGAUUGCGCCACUGUAUUCCAGCCUAGGUGACAGAGCCAGACCCUGUCUCAAAUUAAAAAAAACUCUUUGUGGUCAUUUAAUUUACUUCUGCAUUCUUUUUUUUUUUUUUUUGAAAUGGGCAGUGGUACCAUCUCAGCUCACUGCAACCUCUGCCUUGGGGGUUCAAGUGAUUCUCCUGCCUCAGCCUCCCGAGUAGCUGGGAUUACAGGCACCCGCCACCACGCCCAGCUAAUUUUUGUAUUUUUAGUAGAGACGGGGCUUUGCCAUGUUGACCAGGCUGGACUCAAACUCCUGACCUCAGGUGAUCCGCCCACCUCGGCCUCCCAAAGCACUGGGAUUACAGGAAUGAGCCACUGCACUCGGCCUACUUCUGCAUUCCUUAGAGUACAUCCUAGCUAGGAUAUAUUCACUUGUCUUUAGAGCUAACAGCAGAAGAAAGGUACCUAGAUGCUUAUCUAGCUCUUUAUCUUUCUAGAAAUUCUAGAAGAUGAGAGGGGCAGUGGUGGCUCCAAGGGAGUGAUUUUAGGAUGGACUGGGACAGAGAGGGGCUGCUUACACAUACUCACACAGAGGCCAUUAAUUUAGGGAGUUCAAGGUCCAGGAGGUUGACGGCAUCUAGGCCUGUGGCAGAGUGCACUCCUGCUUUGGGGAAUGUAUGGGCAGCUUCUUGCCUGUAGUUGGAGGGUUAGAGAGAGGGAUCAAUAAUUUCAUGGUUGGACUUGAGUUUGGAGCGAGUGGAGUUAGAUACAAAUUCUAUGUUUUUGGAGAAAGUAUUUGAUCUUCUUGGCUGUGAGGCAAAGCGAGGUUUAAAAAUAUUUUUCACUUAAAAAUAUAUAUAUAUGCAUGUAUAUUUAAUACUGUCUAUGGAUUGUGCCAAUAUCUAUUUCAUGGUUUUGAUAUUGUGUAGUUAUACAAGGAGUUACCACUGAACGAAACUGGGGGAAGGGUACACAGAAUCUCUGUACUUUUUUUGUUGUUGUUGCAAUUUCCUGUAAAUCUAUGAUUAUUUUAAAAUAAAAAAGUUAAAGCAUACGUAUUUACAUUUGAUUAAAUGCAGUGUGAUAUCCUGGGUUGGAUUUUGGAACAAAACAAGGCAUGAGUGAAAAAACUGGUAAAAUCCAAAAAAGCCUUUAGUUAAAAGUAAUACCAGUGUUAAUUUCUUAGUUUUGACAAAUGUGCCAUGGCUGUGUAAGAUGCAAAUGUUAGAGGAAACUGGGCGAAGAAUUUGAGGGAACUCUCUGUACUAUUCUUUGCAGCUUUUCUGUAAAUCUACAAUUAUUCCAAAAU
rnacentral:lncRNA from 1 species